rnacentral:rRNA from 1 species
GAUGAACGCUGGCGGCGUGCCUAAUACAUGCAAGCCGAGCGAACAGACGAGGAGCUUGCUCCUCUGACGUUAGCGGCGGACGGGUGAGUAGCACGUGGAUAACCUACCUAUAAGACUGGGAUAACUUCGGGAAACCGGAGCUAAUACCGGAUAAUAUAUUGAACCGCAUGGUUCAAUAGUGAAAGACGGUUUUGCUGUCACUUAUAGAUGGAUCCGCGCCGCAUUAGCUAGUUGGUAAGGUAACGGCUUACCAAGGCGACGAUGCGUAGCCGACCUGAGAGGGUGAUCGGCCACACUGGAACUGAGACACGGUCCAGACUCCUACGGGAGGCAGCAGUAGGGAAUCUUCCGCAAUGGGCGAAAGCCUGACGGAGCAACGCCGCGUGAGUGAUGAAGGUCUUCGGAUCGUAAAACUCUGUUAUUAGGGAAGAACAAAUGUGUAAGUAACUAUGCACGUCUUGACGGUACCUAAUCAGAAAGCCACGGCUAACUACGUG